AUACGUAGGUGGCAAGCGUUAUCCGGAUUUACUGGGUGUAAAGGGAGCGUAGACGGAAAGCCAAGUAUGAUGUAAAAGGUGGGGACACAACCCCCAAACUGCAUUGGAAACUGGUUUGCUAGAGUGUCGGAGAGGUAAGUGGAAUUCCUAGUGUAGCGGUGAAAUGCGUAGAUAUUAGGAGGAACACCAGUGGCGAAGGCGGCCUGCUGGACGACAACUGACGCUGAGGCGCGAAAGCGUGGGGAGCAAACAGGAGUAGAUACCCUGGUAGUCCACGCUGUAAACGAUGAAUACUAGGUGUGGGGGGACUGACCCCCUCCGUGCCGCAGUUAACACAAUAAGUAUUCCACCUGGGGAGUACGAUCGCAAGAUUGAAACUCAAAUGAAUUGGCGGGG
rnacentral:rRNA from 1 species